GGUUAACUUGUUAUGUAGCCACCUAGCCGGAGAGGGGUGUGUUAUCUGCUAUCAGCUAAUCUUUAUAACACCGGUUUUCAUUUCAGGUUAAUAAGUGACACUCGGUAAUACACUUAACGUGCACACAGACGCUGUCGCUUAUUUGUUUGACUUAUUCGAUACAUUUUUUGCGAGUGCUUUGAGCGCAGACGACGUGCACAUGCUAACGUUAGCUGUGUAGCUACCUAGCUAACCAGCUAUCAUUAGCUAAGGUAGUGACAAGUGUUCUUCCUGAUGACUUGUGGUAUCAAAAGCUGACCUUGUAGGCACAGUCAGCCGCAGGACGGUGUAAAUGUGUUCUGUCAGAGCUAUGGCAUCAACCAGGCUCCUGCGUUUGUUAAACGCGAAAGCAGCAGCCUCGACCAAAACAUUAGCCAGGGCAGGGUGGAGUGUGUGCUUCAGGAGAAAUGUCUGUAGUUCACCUUCAAGACUGCAGAGCUGUAUGUCAGCCUGGGUCAUUGAUCAGUAUGGUACUAAUGAGGUUCUGAAGUACACUGAAGAAAUCCCCAUGCCCAUUGUCAGCUCUCCCAGUGAGGUGAUGAUUAAAGUCCAUGCUGCCAGUCUCAACCCUCUUGAUGUGUCUAUGAGGGGUGGUUAUGGAGCUAAACUGCUUAAAUUAAGAAGGGAUCCACUGUCUGUGAUGGGCAGUGACAAUGAUAGUGAGUUUCCUCUGAUCCUGGGUCGUGAUGUGUCUGGUGUGGUGGUGGACUGUGGAUCUGAGGUGACCCAUGUUGUUCCAGGAGAUGAGGUGUGGGCUGCCGUUCCCCCAUGGAAACAAGGCAGCCUGGCAGAAUUUGUGACUCUCACAGAGUAUGAGGUUUCCCAUAAGCCAAAAUUAUUGAGUCACACAGAGGCAGCAUCCAUCCCCUAUGUGGCCAACACUGCUCUGUCUGCCCUGGUCAAUGCAGGUGGUCUUUGCAGACACAACUCUUCAAAUAAAAGAGUUUUGAUCACUGGAGGAUCCGGAGGAGUUGGAACAUUCUCCAUUCAGUUAUUGAAGGCUUGGGGAGCCCACGUAACUGUUACCUGCUCUCAGAACGCCGAAGGCCUUGUUAGAGGACUGGGGGCCGACGAGGUGGUGGACUACACAGCGGGAGAUGCGCCCGAGCAGCUAGAAAUGAUGGAGAAGUUUGAUGUGAUUUUAGACAAUGUGGGCGGGGAGACGGAGGAGUGGGCGGUGGGCCUGCUGAAGCCCUGGUCUGGAGCGAAGUACAUCACACUGGUAACACCUUUACUCCUCAACACCGAUUCCAUGGGCCUGCUGGAUGGGGUGUUUCACGCUGGACUCACCCUGCAAAGCAAGGCCAUGCAGAACAUUAUAUCAAGUGGAGUCUUCUAUCGGUGGGGGUUUUACACUCCAGAUGGACCUGCCCUGGAUGAGGUCAGCAGGCUGGUGGAUGCAGUGAAGAUUCUGCCAGUAGUGGAGGCCCAGUUUCCGUUUACCCAGGUGCCCCAGGCUUUUCAGAAGUUGGAGCAGGGCCACGCCAGAGGGAAGACAGUCGUCAGGGUGGAUGACGAGGACGACAGACAGGCCGAAAAGCUGGUGCAGAGCAGUCGCACGGAGACCGCAGAGUCUGAGCAAGACGUGCAAGAGACGGCCAAGCAAAACUAAGAGACAGUGGAGGGAAUUCAGCUCCUGUGUUUCUUCUCACCUUUACAAGGCUGCUCUGACAGCAGAAGACUGUAUAAUUGAAUGGGAGCAGAGGUGCUGCCGUUGCGCAGCAGACUACAAGCGUGACCUGAGACUGUAAUGGGAGCAUGCCAAAGACUGUUGUUAAAUCUUACACCUUCCUGUGCUGUCUUGAAGUUUUCACAAGGUGUUGAGUUAUGCCGCGUUCCUGUCAUGGAGAGGCUGUUAUAAUUACCAGCUGUGGACUAAUAAAUACUAUUCAGGGCAGCAUCCAGCAGGUAUUACCAGGCUCUCUGUGGCCUUAUGAUUGCUGCAAUCUAUCAACAUGGAGUCAAAUAAUAAAAAAAUGUCUGAUACAAGUCUGAUGCAGCCUACAGUGAGAGAGCUGAGCAAAAGUUAAAAGUCCAGUGUGUAAGAUUUACUGGAAUAUAUGGUGGAAAUGGAAUCUAAUAGGUGUUUUCUAUAGUGUAAAGUCACCUGAAAAUAACCACCUUGUUUCUACAGCAGGCCAGAACGGACAUGAGGACGUUUUUGUGUCGGCCACCAUAGCUAGAAGCCUGUCUGCGAUGAGAGCAUCGUAAAAAAACAGAUUUUCAAAAUGUGAAUCUGCACUAUUACCCAUUUUUACUGGUUUAAAUCCCUAGUAUCAAGCUGUCGGAGUAAGCAUGGAGCCCACACUGUAACUAACUGCACUCCCUGAAGACAUAUUAUAUUUUUGUAAAAAUGAAAGAGUGAUUCCAGAGAGAAGCAGACAGAGGGGUCUACAGUCUGUGUUUGAAGGAUAUAUCCAGGAUGUCAAACUGACUCAGCAGCAACAACAGGUUAAAAAGACAAAGAUAGUUAGAAGCUAAAGCCGAACUAUAGGCUACAGAUCACAGUGUAAAAGUGAACCACCACAUCACUGCUGAUCGCCACACAAGACAAUGAAUAUAAAGGGAAACUUUGCUGAUACUGAACCAGCUGUGUGGCAUCGCAGUGUG